ensembl:lncRNA
GAGCGGCCCCGCCCCCGCGCCGGGCGGAGCUGCGGGAGAAGGCUGGGCGGCCGCCCGUGUGCUGCAGGAGUCUGCUGCUGGGACGUUUCCAUGCCCGCUUCUUCCCUUUAUUCCCUUCUUCAUCUCUUUUAUUUCCCUUUCAUUCCUCCCAUUCUUUCCUUCUCCCUCCUCUUUCCCUUCCUCUUUCCUUCCUUUUCCCUCGCCUUUUCCUUUCUUUCUUCCCUCCCUACAUCCUUCUCUUCCUUUCUUUCCUUCUCUCCCUUCCUCCAUCUCUUCGUCUUUCCCUCUCUCCUUCUUUCUCCCACUUUCCUUCCUCUCUCCUCUCUUUUCUCCCGCCGUUCUGCUUCCUUCCCUUUUAAUUUUUCCCCUUAAAAAAUUGUUUUUAAACUGUUUUGAACUGUGGUAAAAAACAUAAAAUUUAUCAUCUUAACCAUUUUUGUUUUUAAAGAUUUGCUGUGAGCUAACAUCUGUUGCCAGUAUUCUUUUUAAAUUCUUCCUCUUCUCCGCAAAGCCCCCCAGUACAUGGUUGUAUCUUCUAGUUGUGAGUGCCUCUGGUUGUGGCAUGUGGGACGCCGCCUCAAGCGUUGCCUGAUGAGCCGUGCCAUGUCCGCGCCCAGGAUCCCAACUAGCAAAACCCCCUGGAUGGGAAAGCGGAGCAUGAACCCAAACACUUGCCCGCAGGCUGGCCCCCCAUCUGAACCAUUUUUGAGCAUAUGGUUCCGUGGUGUUGAGUACAUUCACAUUGUUGUCAGCCAUCUCCAGAACUCUUCAUCCUGCAGAACAGAAACUCUAGACCUGUUGAAUAACGACAACCAUUUCCCCCUCCUCCCAGCCUCUCGUAACCACGUUCUACUCUUUUUUUCUUCAUUCUUCCUUUUGCCUUUCUGUGCCUUUCUCCCUUUUCCUUUAUCUCUCCUUUUUCUUCCCCUCCCUCUUUCCGUCUUUCUCUUCUUAAAAGCCUGAUGGCCCUGAUUCACCCUUGCCAGCCCUCCACAGCCUCUGCCAGGGGCUGGGCCAGAGGCCUGUCAGCCAGGGCUGUGAGCGCGGGUGAGGAAACUGAGCCUCUUUCCUCAGAACAGCGAAGGGAUUUGCCGUGGCCAGGGAGCUGGGAAGGAGCAUGUACUCAAAGAUCCGACCAGGAAGAAAGAUUUGAUCUCCCGGCAGGAUCCACUUCCCAUGGCGACGCCUUCUUGAGUCGAAGCUCUGAUCUUUUUGGUGAAUGCCUUGGAGGUUUGGGUUCAGUGGACUUUGACUGCGUGUCUCCAGAAAGCUCAGCACAUGCCUCCUGAAGCAGAUAUCCAGCCGGCUGAAGCUUGCUGCCGUGGAACCAAUCGUGAGACCGUUGCACAGUGGUGUCUGCGUGAGAUCAGUGCAAUACCGUGAAGAGUCCGCUUGAUUUGGGGGAAGUGCUCGCACAGCAGUCAAGAGGUCUAGAUCCAGGAGAAGAGCAAGCUGAGGUGCCUGGUCCCUGUCUAUGAGCGGCUGCCCUGGCAGAGAGAGCAGUCAUCCAAGGAAUGCCACUGAGCUGACUGCAGAGGCCAUCAGAGGCGGGCCUGUCCAAGCUGCCCAGCGCCAUUCAGGACAAGUGAAGCCUUCCCACUUGCUCCUGACUCAGGCUGCAGUAUCUCUGGGCUGGGCUGUCUCCUGUUCCACAGGUCCUGGGCUGAUAGCCAGACUGACUUCCUGACUGGCAUUCCUGCCUCCAGCCCCAGCUCACUGCAGUCCACCCCCACAUCAGCCGGAGAGCCUUCCUCAAAGUGACUAGAAGAGCACACAUCGACACUGAAGGUAGAGUGGGGAGCUUGGAAGAACCUGGAAGACACCAUUGCACCCUGAUUCAACACACCCUGAGGGCCGUCCCACUCUAGACUUUCUGCAUUGUGAGAUAAUACACUUCUGUUAUUCACAGCUGAAAGCUUCUUGGCCCAUACAGAGAGGUGAGGUACAUAGAAGGAUGAGAAGAGCUCAAAGGAAAGACUUGGAGAACCCGGAUUUUGUCCCAGCUUUGUUCCCACUGUGGUGCACCCCCGGGCAAGGUGCUGCCUCUCACUGG